GAUGGACGCUAGCGGCAGGCUUAACACAUGCAAGUCGAACGGAGACCUUUCGGGUCUAGUGGCGCACGGGUGCGUAACACGUGGGAAUUUGCCUCGGGGCAUGGAAUAACUCAGGGAAACUUGAGCUAAUACCAUAUAAUGUCUUCGGACCAAAGAUUUAUCGCCCUGAGAUAAGCCCGCGUAGGAUUAGCUAGUUGGUGAGGGUAAAGGCUCACCAAGGCGACGAUCCUUAGCUGGUCUGAGAGGAUGAUCAGUCACACUGGAACUGAGACACGGUCCAGACGUCCUACGGGAGGCAGCAGUGGGGAAUUUUGGACGAAUGGGCGCAAGCCUGAUCCAGCAAUGCCGCGUGCAGGAUGAA
rnacentral:rRNA from 1 species